rnacentral:rRNA from 1 species
UGGGGAAUUUUGGACAAUGGGCGAAAGCCUGAUCCAGCAAUGCCGCGUGUGUGAAGAAGGCCUUCGGGUUGUAAAGCACUUUUGUCCGGAAAGAAAUCCUUGGCUCUAAUACAGUCGGGGGAUGACGGUACCGGAAGAAUAAGCACCGGCUAACUACGUGCCAGCAGCCGCGGUAAUACGUAGGGUGCAAGCGUUAAUCGGAAUUACUGGGCGUAAAGCGUGCGCAGGCGGUUUGCUAAGACCGAUGUGAAAUCCCCGGGCUCAACCUGGGAACUGCAUUGGUGACUGGCAGGCUAGAGUAUGGCAGAGGGGGGUAGAAUUCCACGUGUAGCAGUGAAAUGCGUAGAGAUGUGGAGGAAUACCGAUGGCGAAGGCAGCCCCCUGGGCCAAUACUGACGCUCAUGCACGAAAGCGUGGGGAGCAAACAGGAUUAGAUACCCUGGUAGUCUACGCCCUAAACGAUGUCAACUAGUUGUUGGGGAUUCAUUUCCUUAGUAACGUAGCUAACGCGUGAAGUUGACCGCCUGGGGAGUACGGUCGCAAGAUUAAAACUCAAAGGAAUUGACGGGGUCAUAGCUGUUUCCU